UAGCGUAGGGGGCAAGCGUUUGUCCGGGAAUUAUUGGGCGUAAAGAGCUCGUAGGCGGUGUGUCGCGUCGGCCGUGAAAACCCGAGGCUCAACCUCGGGCCUGGCAGUGGGUACGGGCAGACUAGGAGUGCGGUAGGGGAGAUUGGAAUUCCUGGUGUAGCGGUGGAAUGCGCAGAUAUCAGGAGGAACACCGAUGGUGAAGGCAGAUCUCUGGGCCGUAACUGACGCU
rnacentral:rRNA from 1 species